UACAGAGGGUGCAAGCGUUGUUCGGAAUUACUGGGCGUAAAGGGCGCGUAGGCGGCCAUCUAAGUCAGACGUGAAAUCCCCCGGCUUAACCUGGGAACUGCGUCUGAUACUGGACGGCUUGAGUUUGGGAGAGGGAUGCAGAAUUCCAGGUGUAGCGGUGAAAUGCGUAGAUAUCUGGAGGAAUACCGGUGGCGAAGGCGGCAUCCUGGACCAACACUGACGCUGAGGCGCGAAAGCUAGGGGAGCAAACGGG
rnacentral:rRNA from 1 species